GUACAUGCUUACAUCAUAACGCUAAUGCACCAUAUCCCAUUAGAACUCCAUAGUUAAGUGCGCUCGGGAUAGAGUAGUACUGGGAUGGGCGACCUCCCAAGAAGUCCUAUUGUUUUAGAUG
rfam:Picea glauca, whole genome shotgun sequence.